GUGUCAGCAGCCGCGGUAAUACAGAGGUCCCAAGCGUUGUUCGGAUUCACUGGGCGUAAAGGGUGCGUAGGUGGUUAGGUAAGUCCAAUGUGAAAUCUCCGAGCUUAACUCGGAAACUGCAUCGGAUACUAUCUGACUAGAGGGUUGGAGGGGGGACUGGAAUACUUGGUGUAGCAGUGAAAUGCGUAGAUAUCAAGUGGAACACCAGUGGCGAAGGCGAGUCUCUGGACAACUCCUGACACUGAGGCACGAAAGCUAGGGGAGCAAACAGGAUUAGAAACCCCUGUAGUCC
rnacentral:rRNA from 1 species